ACUCUCCAGAUCCCUUGCCUGUCAGAUCCAAACUCUGUUCUGAGUGGCUGUAAAGGGAGGAAAAGUAAAACUGAAAUGGAUUUGGAUUAUUUUGUGACAUACAAGUUCAUUUCAAACAAAA
ensembl:snoRNA